AUAUGAGAUAUAAUAGGACUAGAACUCUUAACCCCGCUUAAGCAUUUUGGGUGGUGGCUAGGCCCAAGAGGUUAAGAGAGUUAAGCGUGCUAGGACGAGAGUAGUUCUAGGAUGGGUAACCCCCUGGGAAGUUGACGCGUCACAAGAA
rnacentral:rRNA from 1 species